AAUGAAGUAGCACAAACUUUGGAGAACGUCUUGUCGUCUCACUCUUGUCUGUAGCAGAACACACAGACACUGUAUGCAGAGCUGAGAGAAAGAGCACAGGAACUACACACACUCAGGAGAGAGAGACUGCAGGCUAUGUUAGAGAUUCAGAGGCUUGAAGCUGAAGUAGAGAAUCACAACGCAAGGAACAAUGAGAAGCACCUGGAAGAGAGUUUGAAACGGCUCCAGGAUGAGGCAGAAGUGAGUCUCAGGGAAGUUUAUCUGGAGUCACAGCAGAUCACAGAGAACAUGGACGAGGACCACAGAGGGGUCUGCUCUAAAUCUGAGAGCUUUAAUGGCCAGGCUGAGCCACAGAAACUCACAGAGCUUUCGCAAGAGGGGAAAAGACAGCACAAGGUCCACUUCAGCUCAGGAGAUUGUCUUUUGGGUUUUCUUUCGGGAUCGCCGGUGACCCGCUGUGUGGAAACGCACUGAGCCAUGCGUCAGUUGAAGGGCAAGCCGAAGAAGGAGUCGUGGAAGGACAAAAAGGAGCGCAAACAGGCCAUGCAGGAGGCGCGGGAGCAGGUGACAACCAUCGUUCUACCGACGCUCGUCUUGCUCGUGCUGCUCAUCGUCAUCUUCGUCUACGUGGCGACGAGACCCGGAGCCAUCGAGUAAAAAGACUCCAAAUAGCCAAAUCUCCUCUGCCCUUGUCUUUCUCUUUCAUUUCCCCUUGUUCCUUCACAAUGCAGAGUUCGGUGGAUGAAUUGGACACAGUCAUAAAGAUGAAUGGAUUGAUAAAGGAGUGCUUUUCUGUGUCAUGUUUGGAGUAUGUUGAAGGAGUCUUCCAUUUCGGCUUCUGACAGAGCACCUCUCCCAGCCACCAGCAUUCGCGUCUGUGGCGGCCCUGUUGGCUCCAAAUGCAUUUACAGGGUUCUAGUUUCAUGCCAAAGCACCUGAGACACAGCAGACUCAGACUGACCCAGGAACCGGGCCAGAUCUGAUGCCUCUGUGCUCAAAGUCAAUACAAAUGAGAAGUGACUGUAGUAUUGCACAUGUUUGUAGCAUGCAAAUGCACACACACACACAGAUCCACAAAUGAACAUUGAUGGGUGUCACAUGAAACCAUUUAUGACAGAAUUGUAUGUUACCCAGAAUGUAUACUUCUUAUUGCUCAUUACCGAAUCCCUUAACAAGCAGUUCCUGAUGUUUUUGGUUAAUGUGUGUGUGUGUGUGUGUGUGUGUGUGUGUGUGUGUAAGCAUAUGCACAAUGAAGUGCAUGUUUCUGUCACAUCUGUGAUAUACAAUCAAAGCAGCAAACGUACUCUUAUUUUAAAAUGUAUUCCAGCAGGACUUGGAUCUAAAAAUGUGCCUUAAUGUUUAAUGACAUAACAGCAUUUAAAGUAUUAAUAAAGAAAUAGAAAGCCAUGCUGACUGCUUUAAG
ensembl:lncRNA